rnacentral:rRNA from 1 species
AUGGACGGCCUCCUCCAUUAGGACUUCUCCCCCGGACUUUGGGUGGAGGAUCAGGUGCAUUCACAUUUUGGAUCUACUGUCCACUUCGUCCCCAACCCUAACUCCAAGGAGUUCUUCCUUGAAGUUUCUUUCUCCUCGACCUCCUUUCCCCUCUCGGAAGAAUUAGUGGGUUUGGCCUUACAAUCUUGUAUUGGA